ensembl:lncRNA
GAGCGCAAAGAUCGUCUAUGUUAGAGAAGAGUUAUUUCCUGUUUGCUAAGUACACGAAAGGGAUCCCAUCGGUGGUGUCAAGUGGGAGCUCCUAACCUAAAGCGUCCAUUUGGAGGCUGAUAAUGGAGGAUAGACAGAAAGAGUCAAAUACAGAACUCACCAGGAGGCAAAGUGAAUAAACGCAGGGCAACACCAGCACCAUAAUUGUGUGGUUGUGGCUGAAUAAGCUGGUCCUCCUGCAGGACAGGACAGCAGGCACAUGAGGCUUUGGGGGCCUGCGUCAACAAUAUAUGGAGCCAGCAGACAUCAGUCCGUUGAGGUGUCCCUCUCCAGCGCCACUGGAUGGUGUCGGUCAUCCUGAGGUGGAAUCCAAGGAGGAGGAGCUGAGGGGUUUUGUGCAGCUCUCAGUCGGGGUGUCUUGCAGGCCCCCGGGCUCGGCUGACUCCCCCGAAUCAACAACUUGCCUCAGACAACCUCUCCCCAUAAAGCCAGCCACUCAUCAAUCUGGCUGUGGCCUUAAUCUCCCAGUGAAGAAAUCCCAACCCACAUUCUCCAUGAACUUGGCUUCAGGAUGGAAUGAGACGGACAUGGAGCAUCGGGCUCUUAAAGCUGAAUCGGCUGUGCGCCUCAUAGAUGACUACCGCAGUGCUGAUACCUGCGUAGCCUCUGCAGCUAACGCGCGUCUUCAGAGGGAAGAGAUGGGCUUUGCUGACUUCACUGUGUUUACAGAGCAGACGGUGCAUCACUGGUGCUGUGGUUUCACACCUUCAGGGAAUCCAGAGACGUCUAACAGCAGACUUGGGCAGAGGAACCCUUCAAACAGCCCAUUAGAACGCCCCCGUAGUCCCGGGCAGGUGGCUUUAGGGGACUCUGACCCUCAUUGUUCAUCUAAAGCAAAAGAUUGCACCAUGAUCGGACACUGGCAGGAAGGAGACGCUGCAGUUGCGCAACCCCACCAGGACCAGCAACAGCCUCAGGAAACUGCAGCAACUUUGGUUUUUCCUCCUGCGAAGGUUUACGCCGAGAAAGGAGCGUCGGAGGAGAGCGACGAACAAGACGAGCCAGGACGCCGCCGCUCCGACUCAUCCGCAACUCAGGAAAACUCUGCUACCUCCGGUCCGCUGCGGUCAGGAGCGCGCCACGAUAUCUCGGACCCGGUGCACGCCCAACGAGCCGACGCUGCCGUGCUGAUUCUGGGAACGCUCCCACCGAGCGACAGCUUCGCCGACUUCUGCGCAGCGCCCGCGCAGGACGACGGAGAGGAUUUAUGGGCGGAGUUCACGGACAGGAAGGAAGAGGAAGGCGAGCCGGCUUGGACCAGAGAGCGAGCCGGCUCCGUCCCCACUGAAGACGAGGACGAGGCUCCCGGCUGUAAGGCGUCACUUUCCGGCCGUGUGCACCAGCUUUUCCUGGCUAAUUUCCUGGAGGCAGGGGGCCCGUGUGCUGCCCCAGAGCUGGAGGUGCUCAGCCUCGCCGCUCUGCUUGAUGUCCAACAGCCCCCUCAGCGUGAGGACGGCGAGGAGCAACAGGGCCAGGGGAUCCAGAAGGGGCUGCGGUGGCUGCGCGCGGACCUUCACAGUGCAGUCGGCCUCCGGUUCCAGUGGAGAGGCUCCCACUCCAGCAGGACUCUGCUCAGGUGCCUCGGCGUGGACGCAGAGAACGUCCGUUCGCUAGAGACCACCAAAGACUCCGAGUCAGCCGCCCGUUCUCCGAGACACACGGCGGCACCGGCACCUCCGACCCCCCAGGACGCACCAGCACCUUCCACCGCUCCAGUACAGGGUACGAUUCCCUCCAGCCAGACGGACUGGAACAACCGCGGCCUUAGAAGCUCUCAGGACGGCACCUGCCUUCGCAGAGCCCCUCACUUCUGGGGUCGUAAAUAG